rnacentral:rRNA from 1 species
UACGUAGGGCGCAAGCGUUUUCCGGAAUUAUUGGGCGUAAAGAGCUCGUAGGCGGUUUGUCGCGUCUGCCGUGAAAGUCCGGGGCUCAACUCCGGAUCUGCGGUGGGUACGGGCAGACUAGAGUGAUGUAGGGGAGACUGGAAUUCCUGGUGUAGCGGUGAAAUGCGCAGAUAUCAGGAGGAACACCGAUGGCGAAGGCAGGUCUCUGGGCAUUAACUGACGCUGAGGAGCGAAAGCAUGGGGAGCGAACAGG